UACGUAGGGUGCGAGCGUUAAUCGGAAUUACUGGGCGCAAAGCGUGCGCAGGCGGCUUCGCAAGUCAGACGUGAAAUCCCCGGGCUUAACCUGGGAAUGGCAUUUGGGACUGCAAGGCUUGAGUGCGGCAGAGGAGACUGGAAUUCCUGGUGUAGCAGUGAAAUGCGUAGAUAUCAGGAGGAAUACCGAUGGCGAAGGCAGGUCUCUGGGCUGACACUGACGCUCAUGCACGAAAGCGUGGGGAGCAAACAGG
rnacentral:rRNA from 1 species